rnacentral:lncRNA from 10 species
CUUCUUGUUUUUUAAUUAUGACUUUUAUUUUUAUUGUUUUCAUAGAUACAACAGAGAAAUGCAUAAUGUCCAGUGAAUUUAUUACAGUUCCAAAGUCGGCCGCACAUGGUGGCUCACCCCUGUAAUCUCAAAACUUCGGGAGGCCGAGGCGUGUGGAUCACGAGGUCAGGAGUUGGAGACUGGCCUGACCAACAUGGUGAAACCCCGUCUCUACUAAAAAUACAAAAAUUAGCCAGGCAUGGUGGAACGCGGCUGUAAUCCCCCCUACUCAGGAGGCUGAGGCAGGAGAAUUGCUUGAACCUGGGAGGCAGAGGUUGCAGUGAGCCGAGAUGGCGCCACAGCACUCCAGCCUGGGCGAAAGAGUGAGUGAGACUCCUACGCAAAAAAAAAAAAAAAAAAAAAAACUUCCAAAGUCAUACUCACCUUUCUGCUCUUGUCAGACAAUUAAGGGGUCUUUGAAUACUUCAGCCCUAAUAAGUUGCUUCCUAACAUACAUAUUUCCGUGCUUAUCUAAUUUUAAAUAUCUUUUUGUUUCAACACCUAAUUUUUUAUUUAGGUCUAUCUGUAUGUUUACAAUAUAUGUAAACAUACAGUUAGAUAUACCAUGUACCC